UCUUUUAAGAGAGCGGAUAAUGGACCUAAUCAUACUUCCAAGAAAAACCCCUAAGCUUCAGGCAUAAGCUGCCCGUACCGCAAACCGACACAGGUAGUCGAGGAGAGUAUCCUCAGGCGCUCGAGUGAUUCACGGCUAAGGAACUCGGCAAAAUAGACCCGUAACUUCGGGAGAAGGGUCGCCCCGCGCAAGCGGGGCCGCAGUAAAAAGGCUCAGGCGACUGUUUAGCAAAAACACAGGGCUCUGCAAAAUCGAAAGAUGAAGUAUAGGGCCUGACACCUGCCCGGUGCUGGAAGGUUAAGGAAGCUUGUUAGUGGGAAACUGCGAAGCUUGUAACUGAAGCCCCAGUAAACGGCGGCCGUAACGAUAACGGUCCUAAGGUAGCGAAAUUCCUUGUCGGGUAAGUUCCGACCUGCACGAAUGGUGUAACGAUCUGAGCACUGUCUCGGCCGUGAGCUCGGUGAAAUUGUAGCCCCGGUGAAGAUGCCGGGUACCCGCAACGGGACGGAAAGACCCCGUGAACCUUCACUAUAGCUUUGCAUUGGUUUUGAGUAAAUAAUGUGUAGGAUAGGUGGGAGGCUGCGAAGCAGGCACGCUAGUGUUUGUGGAGCCGUCCUUGAAAUACCACCCUUUAUUUACUUAGAGUCUAACUCUUUGAAAGAGGACAGUGCAUGGUGGGUAGUUUGACUGGGGUGGUCGCCUCCAAAAGAGUAACGGAGGCUUUCAAAGGUACCCUCAGCACGCUUGGUAACCGUGCGUAGAGCGCAAUAGUAUAAGGGUGCUUGACUGUAAGACCGACGGGUCAAGCAGGUAGGAAACUAGGAUAUAGUGAUCCGGUGGUUCCGUAUGGAAGGGCCAUCGCUCAUAGGAUAAAAGGUACUCCGGGGAUAACAGGCUGAUCCUACCCAAGAGCUCAUAUCGACGGUAGGGUUUGGCACCUCGAUGUCGGCUCGUCACAUCCUGGGGCUGGAGAAGGUCCCAAGGGUUGGGCUGUUCGCCCAUUAAAGUGGCACGCGAGCUGGGUUCAGAACGUCGCAAGACAGUUCGGUCCCUAUCUGUUGUGGGCGUUUGAGAUUUGAGGAGAUCUGACUCUAGUACGAGAGGACCGGGUCGGACUGACCACUAGUGUACCUGUUAUGGCGCCAGCUGUAUCGCAGGGUAGCUAUGUCGGGAAUGGAUAAGCGCUGAAAGCAUCUAAGCACGAAACCAACUCCAAGAUUAGAUCUCGUAGGGCUGUGGAAGAUUACCACGUUGAUAGGCUACAGGUGUAAAGGCAGUAAUGUCAUAGCCGAGUAGUACUAAUUGCCCGUAAGCUUAC
rnacentral:rRNA from 1 species